AUUGAACGCUGGCGGCAGGCCUAACACAUGCAAGUCGAGCGGCAGCGGGAAAGUAGCUUGCUACUUUUGCCGGCGAGCGGCGGACGGGUGAGUAAUGCCUGGGAAAUUGCCCAGUCGAGGGGGAUAACAGUUGGAAACGACUGCUAAUACCGCAUACGCCCUACGGGGGAAAGCAGGGGACCUUCGGGCCUUGCGCGAUUGGAUAUGCCCAGGUGGGAUUAGCUAGUUGGUGAGGUAAUGGCUCACCAAGGCGACGAUCCCUAGCUGGUCUGAGAGGAUGAUCAGCCACACUGGAACUGAGACACGGUCCAGACUCCUACGGGAGGCAGCAGUGGGGAAUAUUGGACAAUGGGCGCAAGCCUGAUCCAGCCAUGCCGCGUGUGUGAAGAAGGCCUUCGGGUUGUAAAGCACUUUCAGCGAGGAGGAAGGGGUGUGUGUUAAUAGUACACACCUUUGACGUUACUCGCAGAAGAAGCACCGGCUAACUCUGUGCCAGCAGCCGCCGUAACAC
rnacentral:rRNA from 1 species